GAUGAAGAACGCAGCAAAAUGCGAUAAGUAAUGUGAAUUGCAGAAUUCAGUGAAUCAUCGAAUCUUUGAACGCACAUUGCGCCCGCCAGUAUUCUGGCGGGCAUGCCUGUUCGAGCGUCAUUUCAACCCUCAAGCACAGCUUGGUGUUGGGACUCGCGUUAAUUCGCGUUCCCCAAAUUGAUUGGCGGUCACGUCGAGCUUCCAUAGCGUAGUAGUAAAACCCUCGUUACUGGUAAUCGUCGCGGCCACGCCGUUAAACCCCAACUUCUGAAUGUUGACCUCGGAUCAGGUAGGAAUACCCGCUGAACUUAAGCAUAUCAAUUAGCGGAGGA
rnacentral:misc_RNA from 1 species